UAGAUUUCAAUUUUAAUUGAUAGAGCUCCCAAUGUAACUCAAUCUUGACAAAAAAGAAAAAAAAAAAAAAAAACUAUGUAUUAGUCCAUCUUUCUCUCUCCCGACUCUGCAAAGAUCUCCUCCGGCUAAGAAUAUCGGCAGGUACCUUUGUGUCAUUUGAGUAAGCUAAUCCUGUAAAAAAA